AACGAACGCUGGCGGCGUGGAUAAGACAUGCAAGUCGAACGCUGAUUUCAGGGUAGCAAUAUUCUGGAGUCGGAGUGGCGCAAGGGUGCGUAACACGUGGGUAAUUUGCCAUGAAGCCCGGAAUAACUCGCUGAAAGGCGAGCUAAUACCGGAUGUGAUCUUCGGGAGGCAUCUCCUGAACCUUAAAGCUGGGGACCGUAAGGCCUGGCACUUCUUGAUAAGCCCGCGGCCUAUCAGCUAGUUGGUGAGGUAACGGCUCACCAAGGCUAAGACGGGUAGCUGGUCUGAGAGGACGACCAGUCACACUGGAACUGAGAGACGGUCCAGACACCUACGGGUGGCAGCAGUCGAGAAUUUUUCACAAUGGGCGCAAGCCUGAUGGAGCGACGCCGCGUGGGGGAUGAAGGGCUUCGGUCCGUAAACCCCU
rnacentral:rRNA from 1 species